rnacentral:rRNA from 1 species
GACGAACGCUGGCGGCGUGCUUAACACAUGCAAGUCGAACGCUGAAGCUCAGCUUGCUGGGUGGAUGAGUGGCGAACGGGUGAGUAACACGUGAGUAACCUGCCCUCUUCUUUGGGAUAACGCCCGGAAACGGGUGCUAAUACUGGAUAUUCACUGAUUCUCGCAUGGGGGUUGGUGGAAAGGUUUUUUCUGGUGGGGGAUGGGCUCGCGGCCUAUCAGCUUGUUGGUGGGGAUGGCCUACCAAGGCUUUGACGGGUAGCCGGCCUGAGAGGGUGACCGGUCACAUUGGGACUGAGCUACGGCCCAGACUCCUACGGGAGGCAGCAGUGGGGAAUAUUGCACAAUGGGCGAAAGCCUGAUGCAGCGACGCCGCGUGAGGGAUGGAGGCCUUCGGGUUGUAAACCUCUUUCGCUCAUGGUCAAGCCGCAGCUUUGGGUUGUGGUGAGGGUAGUGGGUAAAGAAGCGCCGGCUAACUACGUG